rnacentral:rRNA from 1 species
GAUUAUGGCUCAGGACGAACGCUGGCGGCGUGCCUAACACAUGCAAGUCGAACGAAGCACCUCCUUGGAGAUUCGUCGAAAAGGGAUUUGACUUAGUGGCGGACGGGUGAGUAAUACAUGAGCAACCUGCCCUGAGAGGGGGACAACAGUUGGAAACGACUGCUAAUACCGCAUGAUGUAUCCGGGAGGCAUCUUCUGGAUACCAAAGAUUUAUCGCCUUGGGAUGGGCUCAUGUCUGAUUAGCUUGUUGGUGGGGUAACGGCCCACCAAGGCUGCGAUCAGUAGCCGGACUGAGAGGUUGAACGGCCACAUUGGGACUGAGAUACGGCCCAGACUCCUACGGGAGGCAGCAGUGGGGAAUAUUGGGCAAUGGGCGAAAGCCUCGACCCAGCAACGCCGCGUGAAGGAAGAAGGCCUUCGGGUUGUAAACUUCUUUUAUGAGGGACGAAGGACGUGACGGUACCUCAUGAAUAAGCCACGGCUAACUACGUGCCAGCCGCUGC